AGAUGUGAGGGCUGUCUGGCUGGACAUCUGUCACUGUUGAUCACCAGGGUUGAUUCAGCUGCUUUGGUUAGCUAGGUGGGUGUCCCCUUCCUCACUGCUCCAUGUUUGUCUCUCCCAAAGCUGCAUGCCUGGUGGAAGAAGACCAUUUCCUCAGUCAAGGGUCUACAAGUGAAAGGGGUCUCGAGCCCCCUUUGGGUGCCCCUUGCCCAAUUAUGCCACUCACGCACCGAGAGGUCCGGCAGGAAAUCUUUAUUG
rnacentral:snRNA from 1 species